rnacentral:lncRNA from 1 species
UGGUGGAUAGGGGCAGGUCUGCUCAUUCACUGCUGCCUUCCCUGCACCUGGUACCAUGCACACAGAAUAAGCCUAGCAGAAUGCCUGUGGAUGGACUGACCAAUGAAAGUAAUGAGGUGCUGGGACCCGAAGGCUGAGUGGCAUGAGUCAUGAGGAGGCAUAGGUGGAGUUGGAGGUGGGAGGAGGAUGAUGUAGCAAAGGUAUUUAUAUCAGCCAGAGUCCCAGCAGGAAGAUGGCAUCUUCCACAAGAUAAGUGGGCCAAGUUUAAAGAUGAGAUGAUCUACACAGG